AGCCGCGGUAAUUCCGGCUCCAUAGCGUAUAUAAAGUUGUUGCAGUUAAAAAGCUCGUAGUUGGAUAUCUGCUGGAAGCAAUCAGUCCGCCCUUUUCGUAAGGGUGUGCACUUGAUGAAUUCUGGCAUGAUUUCAUCCUGAUAAUAUAUAAUGUAUUAUUAUAUUAGGUUGACUCCUAGUAUAAUAAUAUUAUUAUUAUGGGGAUGACAGUUACUUUGAGAAAAUUAGAGUGUUUGAAGCAGGCUUUUGUUGCCUUGAAUACUGCAGCAUGGAAUAACAAUAUAGGAUUUCGGUUCUAUUAUUUUGUUGGUUUUUUCUGUAGGACUGAAAUAAUGAUUAAUAGGGACAGUUGGGGGCAUUCGUAUUUAACUGUCAGAGGUGAAAUUCUUAGAUUUGUUAAAGACGAACUACUGCGAAAGCAUUUGCCAAAGAUGUUUUCAUUAAUCAAGAACGAAAGUUAGGGGCUCGAAGACGAUCAGAUACCGUCGUAGUCUUAACCAUAAACUAUGCCGACUAGAGAUAGGAAAAUGUCACAUUGUUGACUUCUCCUGCACCUUAUGAGAGAUCAAAGUCUUUGGGUUCUGGGGGGAGUAUGGUCGCAAGGCUGAAACUUAAAGGAAUUGACGGAAGCGGCACCACCCCGCGUGGAGCCUGCGGCUUACUUUGACUCAACACCGGGAGACUCACCAAGUCCAGACCUGGUAAGGGAUUGACAGAUUGAUAGCUCUUUCGGGGAUUCUAUGGGUGGUGGUGCCUGGCCCGUUCUUACUUGGUGGGAGUGAAUUCGCCUGGGUAAAGUUCCGUUUUCCAAUCGAGGAAGUUUACCCCUACAUACAUAAGAAAACAAGAAAUACAGUUCUGGUGUGAAAAUUUGGGCCCGAUAUUUAACAGGGGGCGAGGCCCCUCUCCCAAAAAGAGGGGGGAGAGUGAGAGGGGUUUCCCCGCCCAAAAUUACCGCGGUGCCGAUAAGUUUUUUUUUUGUGGGCGGGCGCGUGUAAAUAAAACCGCUAUUGGUGAGGAAGGAAAAAUUAAACAAGGGAGG
rnacentral:rRNA from 1 species